GUGCAGCAGGCGCGAAUACUUUACAAUGUGCGAAGCACGAUAAGGGAACUCUGAGUGCCUCCUAAGGAGGCUGUUCAGGUGUCUAAAAGCACCUGAAGGAAGGGCUGAGUAAGACCGGUGCCAGCCGCCGCGGUAACACCGGCAGCCCAAGUGGUAGCCACGUUUAUUGGGUCUAAAGCGUCCGUAGCCGGCUGGGUAAGUUCCUUGGGAAAUUUGGCUGCUUAACAGUCAAGCUUUCAGGGAAUACUGCCCGGCUUGGGACCGGGAGAGGUCAGAGGUACUCCAGGGGUAGGGGUGAAAUCCAUUAAUCCUUGGGGGACCACCGGUAGCGAAGGCGUCUGACCAGACCGGGUCCGACGGUGAGGGACGAAGGCUAGGGGCGCGAACCGGAUUAGAUA
rnacentral:rRNA from 1 species